rnacentral:lncRNA from 1 species
ACUGAGAAACUCCUUCAAAGUCGAUCCAGCGGCACCCCUAAUAUUAGAGCCUCCAUUCUUUGAUCGUCGUGGGCCUUCAUGGCAUACAUGGUAUCAGGGACUUAAUGGCAUUAGAGCCAAAGACUUAGGACUGGAACUAGGGUAUCAGAAGAAUUGCCUAAGUUGUUAAUGAUAUGAACUAGGAUAUUGGGCGAUUAUCAGAGAUAAUGGCGAUUAUAACUCAUACUU